rnacentral:lncRNA from 1 species
CGGGCAGGAGGAUUAUAUUCUCAUGAUUCAGCAUGUUUAUACACAGACUUUCUUUUAAGGCAACUACCGGACUAAAAAAAAACACAAGAUUGGAAAAAGAAGGAAAGGAAAACAGUGCAUUGCCGCAUUCUGCAGAGCAUUAAGUCACUUCUGCUGGACGUGUGGGAUGACAGAUAUUUUGGUAUUCACCUUGUAAUUCCACGCAACCACUUGUGAGGUAUAGCCCCGGACCAACAGCGAGGUACGGCUGGCAGAGAGGUGCAUGAGCAGACAUCUGCCCGGGACGUAGACACCACGCUUUGUCACUUAUCAGCAAAUCAUUUGACCCCGGCCCCUCACCGGCUCUGUGCUGUGCACACAGUAGGCACUCAGGCAGGGUUUACUGGCACAUCCAACUGUCACUAGCAGAGCCAGUCUUGGGCUUCCCACCUCUUGGUAUCAAGGCCUCUGCUGUUCCUGUUGCUCACCACUUCACUUCUAGAGCGUGAGGAAGUCCUGAUGCACCAGCAGGAGGUUUCAGGUCAGACCGGGACUCCAGGGCAGACUCAUGUGCCAAGCUG